rnacentral:rRNA from 1 species
AGUUAUCUGAACCUUCGGGGGACGAUAACGGCGUCGAGCGGCGGACGGGUGAGUAAUGCCUAGGAAAUUGCCCUGAUGUGGGGGAUAACCAUUGGAAACGAUGGCUAAUACCGCAUGAUGCCUACGGGCCAAAGAGGGGGACCUUCGGGCCUCUCGCGUCAGGAUAUGCCUAGGUGGGAUUAGCUAGUUGGUGAGGUAAGGGCUCACCAAGGCGACAAUCCCUAGCUGGUCUGAGAGGAUGAUCAGCCACACUGGAACUGAGACACGGUCCAGACUCCUACGGGAGGCAGCAGUGGGGAAUAUUGCACAAUGGGCGCAAGCCUGAUGCAGCCAUGCCGCGUGUGUGAAGAAGGCCUUCGGGUUGUAAAGCACUUUCAGUCGUGAGGAAGGUGGUGUAGUUAAUAGCUGCAUUAUUUGACGUUAGCGACAGAAGAAGCACCGGCUAACUCCGUGCCAGCAGCCGCGGUAAUACGGAGGGUGCGAGCGUUAAUCGGAAUUACUGGGCGUAAAGCGCAUGCAGGUGGUUUGUUAAAUCAGAUGUGAAAGCCCGGGGCUCAACCUCGGAAUUGCAUUUGAAACUGGCAGACUAGAGUACUGUAGAGGGGGGUAGAAUUUCAGGUGUAGCGGUGAAAUGCGUAGAGAUCUGAAGGAAUACCGGUGGCGAAGGCGGCCCCCUGGACAGAUACUGACACUCAGAUGCGAAAGCGUGGGGAGCAAACAGGAUUAGAUACCCUGGUAGUCCACGCCGUAAACGAUGUCUACUUGGAGGUUGUGGCCUUGAGCCGUGGCUUUCGGAGCUAACGCGUUAAGUAGACCGCCUGGGGAGUACGGUCGCAAGAUUAAAACUCAAAUGAAUUGACGGGGGCCCGCACAAGCGGUGGAGCAUGUGGUUUAAUUCGAUGCAACGCGAAGAACCUUACCUACUCUUGACAUCCAGAGAACUUUCCAGAGAUGGAUUGGUGCCUUCGGGAACUCUGAGACAGGUGCUGCAUGGCUGUCGUCAGCUCGUGUUGUGAAAUGUUGGGUUAAGUCCCGCAACGAGCGCAACCCUUAUCCUUGUUUGCCAGCGAGUAAUGUCGGGAACUCCAGGGAGACUGCCGGUGAUAAACCGGAGGAAGGUGGGGACGACGUCAAGUCAUCAUGGCCCUUACGAGUAGGGCUACACACGUGCUACAAUGGCGCAUACAGAGGGCGGCCAACUUGCGAAAGUGAGCGAAUCCCAAAAAGUGCGUCGUAGUCCGGAUUGGAGUCUGCAACUCGACUCCAUGAAGUCGGAAUCGCUAGUAAUCGUGGAUCAGAAUGCCACGGUGAAUACGUUCCCGGGCCUUGUACACACCGCCCGUCACACCAUGGGAGUGGGCUGCAAAAGAAGUAGGUAGUUUAACC